GCUAACUACGUGCAGCAGCCGCGGUAAUACGUAGGUCCCAAGCGUUAUCCGGAUUUACUGGGCGUAAAGUGUCCGUAGCCUGAUAUACAAGUCAGUUUUCAAAUAUCUCGACUCAAUCGAGAAAAGGGAAUAGAUACUGUAUAUCUCGAGAUUAUUGGAGGUUAGUGGAAUUUCCGGUGGAGCGGUGAAAUGCGUUGAUAUCGGAAAGAACGCCGAAAGCGAAAGCAGCUAACUAUGAUAAUUCUGACGGUGAGGGACGAAAGCUUGGGUAGCAAACGGGAUUAGAUACCCCGGUAGUCCAAGCUGUAAAUUAUGUUUGCUAGGUGUUUCUACUUUGUAGAAGUGCCGAAUCUAACGAGUUAAGCAAAUCGCCUGGGUAGUAUAUUCGCAAGAAUGAAACUCAAAGGAAUUGACGGGGGAACACACAAGCAGUGGAUUAUCUAGAUUAAUUGGAUAAUAAGCCAAGAAUCUUACCCAGACUUGACAUGCAUUGUGUCUACGGUGAAAGCCGUAUAGUUAUAGCAAUAUAACGCUUUGCACAGGCGGUGCAUGGUCGUCGUCAGCUCGUGCCGCAAGGUGUCUAGUUAAGUCUAGUAACGAGCGCAACCCUCAUCGUUAGUUAGAAUGUCUAACGAGACUGCCUGGGUAACCAGAGGAAGGAGAGGAUGACGUCAGAUCCUCAUGCCCCUUAUGUCUGGGGCUUCAUAGAUAAUACAAUGGGUAGUAACAAUGAGAAGCAAUACCGUGAGGUGGAGCAAAUCUUCAAACCUACCCCUAGUUCGGAUUGUAGUCUGGAACUCGACUACAUGAAGUUGGAAUUGCUAGUAAUGGUGAAUCAGCCAUGUCACCGUGAAUAUGUCCCUGUUCCUUGCACUCACCGCCCGUCAAACCAUGGGAGCUGGGGCUCUCUAAAGAUUCGCCAUGCGGAGGGCGAUUACCAGGAGAGAACUGAUGACUGGGGUUAAGUCGUAACAAGGUAACCAAUC
rnacentral:rRNA from 1 species